AAAUUGAAGAGUUUGAUCAUGGCUCAGAUUGAACGCUGGCGGCAGGCCUAACACAUGCAAGUCGAACGGUAACAGGAAGCAGCUUGCUGCUUUGCUGACGAGUGGCGGACGGGUGAGUAAUGUCUGGGAAACUGCCYGAUGGAGGGGGAUAACUACUGGAAACGGUGGCUAAUACCGCAUAACGUCGCAAGACCAAAGAGGGGGACCUUCGGGCCUCUUGCCAUCAGAUGUGCCCAGAUGGGAUUAGCUUGUUGGUGAGGUAACGGCUCACCAAGGCGACGAUCCCUAGCUGGUCUGAGAGGAUGACCAGCCACACUGGAACUGAGACACGGUCCAGACUCCUACGGGAGGCAGCAGUGGGGAAUAUUGCAUGCA
rnacentral:rRNA from 1 species